rnacentral:misc_RNA from 1 species
GAUGAAGAACGCAGCGAAAUGCGAUAAGUAAUGUGAAUUGCAGAAUUCAGUGAAUCAUCGAAUCUUUGAACGCACCUUGCGCCCUUUGGCUAUUCCAGAGGGCAUGCCUGUUUGAGUAUCAUGAACACCUCAACUCUCAUGGUUCUGCCAUGAUGAGCUUGGACUUUGGAGGUCUUGCUGGCCCCUGUGGUCAGCUCCUCUCAAAUGGAUCAGCUUGCCAGUGUUUGGUGGCAUCACAGGUGUGAUAACUAUCUACGCUUGUGGUUUUCUGCCAGAUAACCUUCAGUGAUGGAGGUUCGCUGGAGCUUAUAAAUGUCUCUCCCCAGUGAGGACAGCUUUUUGAACGUUUGAUCUCAAAUCAGGUAGGACUACCCGCUGAACUUAAGCAUAUCAAUAAGCGGAGGA